UGUAACGGGGCUAAACCAUGCACCGAAGCUGCGGCAGCGACACUCAGGUGUUGUUGGGUAGGGGAGCGUUCUGUAAGCCUGCGAAGGUGGCCUGUGAGGGUUGCUGGAGGUAUCAGAAGUGCGAAUGCUGACAUAAGUAACGAUAAAGCGGGUGAAAAGCCCGCUCGCCGGAAGACCAAGGGUUCCUGUCCAACGUUAAUCGGGGCAGGGUGAGUCGACCCCUAAGGCGAGGCCGAAAGGCGUAGUCGAUGGGAAACGGGUUAAUAUUCCCGUACUUGGUGUUACUGCGAAGGGGGGACGGAGAAGGCUAUGUUGGCCGGGCGACGGUUGUCCCGGUUUAAGCGUGUAGGUGUGUGUUCCAGGUAAAUCCGGUUCACUUUAACACUGAGGCGUGACGACGAGGCACUACGGUGCUGAAGCAACAAAUGCCCUGCUUCCAGGAAAAGCCUCUAAGCAUCAGGUAACAUCAAAUCGUACCCCAAACCGACACAGGUGGUCAGGUAGAGAAUACCAAGGCGCUUGAGAGAACUCGGGUGAAGGAACUAGGCAAAAUGGUGCCGUAACUUCGGGAGAAGGCACGCUGACAUGUAGGUGAAGUGAUUUACUCAUGGAGCUGAAGUCAGUCGAAGAUACCAGCUGGCUGCAACUGUUUAUUAAAAACACAGCACUGUGCAAACACGAAAGUGGACGUAUACGGUGUGACGCCUGCCCGGUGCCGGAAGGUUAAUUGAUGGGGUCAGCGCAAGCGAAGCUCCUGAUCGAAGCCCCGGUAAACGGCGGCCGUAACUAUAACGGUCCUAAGGUAGCGAAAUUCCUUGUCGGGUAAGUUCCGACCUGCACGAAUGGCGUAAUGAUGGCCAGGCUGUCUCCACCCGAGACUCAGUGAAAUUGAACUCGCUGUGAAGAUGCAGUGUACCCGCGGCAAGACGGAAAGACCCCGUGAACCUUUACUAUAGCUUGACACUGAACAUUGAGCCUUGAUGUGUAGGAUAGGUGGGAGGCUUUGAAGUGUGGACGCCAGUCUGCAUGGAGCCG
rnacentral:rRNA from 1 species